GAUGAACGCUGGCGGCGUGCCUAAUACAUGCAAGUCGAGCGAACGGACGAGAAGCUUGCUUUUCUGAUGUUAGCGGCGGACGGGUGAGUAACACGUGGAUAACCUACCUAUAAGACUGGGAUAACUUCGGGAAACCGGAGCUAAUACCGGAUAAUAUUUUGAACCGCAUGGUUCAAAAGUGAAAGACGGUCUUGCUGUCACUUAUAGAUGGAUCCGCGCUGCAUUAGCUAGUUGGUAAGGUAACGGCUUACCAAGGCAACGAUGCAUAGCCGACCUGAGAGGGUGAUCGGCCACACUGGAACUGAGACACGGUCCAGACUCCUACGGGAGGCAGCAGUAGGGAAUCUUCCGCAAUGGGCGGAAGCCUGACGGAGUAACGCCGCGUGAGUGAUGAAGGUCUUCGGAUCGUAAAACUCUGUUAUUAGGGAAGAACAUAUGUGUAAGUAACUGUGCACAUCUUGACGGUACCUAAUCAGAAAGCCACGGCUAACUACGUG
rnacentral:rRNA from 1 species